rnacentral:lncRNA from 1 species
CCUUUUAUGAUCUUUCCUCUUCUGCCCCUCGCACUAUGGGCCCCAGUCCCAGGAGCCUAUUCCGCACAGCGAAGGGGAGCAGGAUAAAGUAAGUAUCAAGAGUCUUCAUGUGUUGUCUGACAUUCCUGGCCAGGACAAGAUGGCAGUAAAGCCGGAAAUAAUCAUGGCGGCUGCAGCCGGGGAGGGCUUCCCUAGCCCAGGAGGCAUAGAGAAGGACCUGCUGCCCCAUCACUAUACCAUCCAAGGGGCGCCCAGUGUGUCCCCUCCCAGUACACCAUCUGUCCCAAGCAUUGUAGUAGCAGCUGCUGCCAGCAGGGGUCCUGCCAGUAAGGCCAUUGCUGGGGCCCCCCCGGGGAUGGGGACAGCCACAGCAGGCAGCCAGGGGCCUGGCGUAAGUGUAGCCCCAGCUGGGACUGCAACUGGGCAGGUAACAGAGACCGUGUCUGCCAGCAGUGUUAGUCUAAUGCUGGCUGGCGCUGCCAGCAUGUCACCAGACUCGGUGAGCAUGGCUUCGGUAGGCACUGGCAGCCUGUCGCCCUCGGGCCACGUGAGUGUGGCCUGUGCUGGAGCUGGGAGUGUGGCGGGCCUAGGAACCGUCACCCCGCUCAGGCCCGAGUAUCCCCUGGUGUCAAGCUUGCAGAGCGAGGGCGACAUGAGUGAGCGGGACGGAAGUCAGAGGGUGACCAUGGCCAGUCCAAAGGUAUCCACGAAAGGGAUGUCAUCGCGGAGGCACUCCCAGCGCAGAGAAGGCCGAGCUCACAGACAGGCCAAGAAGGAAGGCAGCAGUGGCCAGAGGAGGUCAUCCCGGCGGGCUGUGACUUCCAGGGAGACGCAGAAAUCCAACCACCAGCCCGGGGGAAGCCGCCACAGCCCAUCUUCCCACAAAGCCACCAGCCGCAGCCCAUCUGUAAAGGAUUCCAGGUGAGAGGAGUUGCUUGCCAGCUGCUAGCUAUGCAUGCCCCUCAUGUCCCUCCAAAAAGAAGGAUCCUGAUGGAGAUUUCAUGAACAUUGCCUAGAAAGCGUCUUUUCUUUUUCUAGAUUGGGAUUAUCUCUCUUACCAUCGUUAUUAUCAUUAUUACCA